rnacentral:rRNA from 1 species
GAUGAACGCUGGCGGCGUGCCUAAUACAUGCAAGUCGAGCGAAUGGAUUAAGAGCUUGCUCUUAUGAAGUUAGCGGCGGACGGGUGAGUAACACGUGGGUAACCUGCCCAUAAGACUGGGAUAACUCCGGGAAACCGGGGCUAAUACCGGAUAACAUUUUGAAACGCAUGGUUCGAAAUUGAAAGGCGUCUUCGGCUGUCACUUAUGGUUGGACCCGUGUCGCAUUAGCUAGUUGGGGAGGUAACGGCUCACCAAGGCAACGAUGCGUAGCCGACCUGAGAGGGUGAUCGGCCACACUGGGACUGAGACACGGCCCAAACUCCUACGGGAGGCAGCAGUAGGGAAUCUUCCGCAAUGGACGAAAGUCUGACGGAGCAACGCCGCGUGAGUGAUGAAGGCUUUCGGGUCGUAAAACUCUGUUGUUAGGGAAGAACAAGUGCUAGUUGAAUAAGCUGGCACCUUGACGGUACCUAACCAGAAAGCCACGGCUAACUACGUGCCAGCAGCAGCCGCAG